AUAAUUUUUCUGAAAGCAUGAAAUUAAUUUUAGAGAUAACUUUUGUUUAGCUGAUGAUAGCAUGCUUCAAGUUGUUUGUCAUCUUGGUCCAAACAGAUAGCUGUGGCAGCAUAAAUAGGUAUUUGCCAUUUAUGAACUGCACGGUGUUACCUCUGGAUGUCAACAGGCUGAAGAUAGGACCAAGACCUUUUUGAUGCUCCUGCUCAUUGCAGAGGAUUGGACAAGAUGACCUGUAAUUAUCCCUUCCAACCCAAAGUAUUCUAUGAUUCUAUGGUUCUAUUAUCUCCGCUCAUUUAUACCACCAGGUCAACACAGUUAGAGAACAUAAAGAGGAGGCUUGAUCAUAAUUAUGUCCAGCUGCAUGCAGGGGAUUUGGUGGUAAAAGCAGUCAUUGCCUCCUAGUAACCUUAGAAUUAAAUAAUAAAAAGGUUACAUACUAUUAAGUGUAGUGCUAUCAGAGUAAACACCCAGCUUGCUAACUCUUGUUGACUUUGUUUUCUGCCAAGACAGACAACUCUGUGGGACACAUUUCAAAUCAAAUGAUCUUCAGUGACCCAUGAGUCAUGAAGGGAGAGAGAGGUCACUUCAGAACAAUUCACUAAAGAGCCAUAGAUUUUUCAAAUGAAAAGUUAAUUUUAUUUAAUUCACCUAUAAAUAAGAUCCUGUGAGCUCCAAUUAUCUUUUUAAACAUAACAGUAAUUUCUAAAAUUUGUCUCAUCAGAUAGCAGGAUCCCAUAGAAAUUUUGAAAGAUUAAAACACCUUGGCUGACUGAAUCUCUCUUGUUUUGAGAACACUUCAGUGCAACUGGACAUGCAAUUACUUCUCCGUAACAUUAGUAUAACAGUUGAUUGGAAAAGGAUUGAAAAAGGCCCCCAGUAAUUGCAGACUUGAGACAUAAAAAUAGCCACAGGAAGAACAAUAAAUACCAUAGGCUGAGAGAAGUCAAGCUAUAAGUCACUUCACCCUAGGUAUGGAAUGAGCUCCCCUUUACCCAGGGCAAGAACAAGCGGAGCUUCCUUGGGAUGGUUGGAAUUCAUGCAAGGCUCCUAAGGAAUAGCCUUGCUCUCAGAGGUGCUCAGCAGGUUUCAAAAAACCAGCUGUUUUUGUGUUGGGUUCUGGAGGGCUUCGAGAAGCCUCCCUCCUGGUGUUAGCUGCAGGUAAGCAUGUUGUGCAGAGCGCUGGCUGGUGGGAGCAUGGGGUCAGUCCCCGCUGUCACCCCCAGGAUGUGCCUGUGCCUCUGCCAGCUGUGCUGGGGCCAGACUCGCCUCUCACUGGGUUUGCAGAGAGAAAAGUGCCAGACUCCAUCUCUUCUCAGCCCGUCUUUGAUAUGGACACUUGGACUCUAAAGGGCCCCUUUAAGUACUGAAAGACUGCAAGAUCUCCAUGGAACCGUGUCUUCUGCAGGCUGAAAAACCCCAACUUUCUCAGACUGCUUUCAUAGGAGAUGUGCUCCAGCUGUCUCCACUUUUGUGGCCCUCUUUGGACUCAUUCCUCAUUCCUGUGUUGAGGACCCCAGAGCUGGACACAGCACUUCAGAUGAGGUCUCAUGAGAGCAGAGUAGAGGGCCAGAAUCCUCCUCUUCUAACGCAGCCCAGGACAUGUUUGGCUUUCUGGGCUGUGAAUGCACACUGCUGGGUCAUGCCCCACUUUUCAUUCACCAGCACCCUUCAAGUCCUUCCCCACAGAGCUGCCCCCAAUGCCUUCAUUCCCCAGCCUGUGUUGAUACCCUGACGCAGUUGUGGGAGCCUGCACUUGGCCUUGUUUAACCUCUGAUGCAGUGCUCGGAGGAAGAUCAUAAAAAGAUUCACUUGCUGCUCAAGAUUUGUUUUGGUUUUUUGCCUUUUAACUUCCUUAUCUAUAAAACCCAUUGGAUCACAGGAUAAGAACAAAUUCCUGCUGACUUCUACAUCAA